UCAGGACGAACGCUGGCGGCGUGCUUCAUACAUGCAAGUCGAACGCGAAGUCACCUUCGGGUGAUGGAAAGUGGCGGACGGGUGAGUAAUGUGUAGAGAAUCUGCCCUUAGCGGGGGACAACAGUUGGAAACGACUGCUAAUACCCCAUAUGCGCGUAGCUGAGAUGCUAUUCGUGAAAACUCCGGUGCUAAAGGAUGAGUCUGCAUCUGAUUAGCUAGUUGGGGGUGUAAUGGACCACCAAGGCGACGAUCAGUAGCUGGUUUGAGAGGAUGAUCAGCCACAAUGGGACUGAGACACGGCCCAUACUCCUACGGGAGGCAGCAGUAGGGAAUUUUGCGCAAUGGGGGCAACCCUGACGCAAGCAACGCCGCGUGAUUGAAUAAGCCCUUCGGGGUGUAAAGAUCUGUCAGUGGGGACGAAACUUGACGGUACCCACAGAGGAAGCAUCGGCUAACUCCGUGCCAGCAGCUGC
rnacentral:rRNA from 1 species